rnacentral:rRNA from 1 species
GACGAACGCUGGCGGCGUGCUUAACACAUGCAAGUCGAACGGAAAGGCCCUGCUUUUGUGGGGUGCUCGAGUGGCGAACGGGUGAGUAACACGUGAGUAACCUGCCCUUUACUUUGGGAUAACUUCAGGAAACUGGGGCUAAUACCGGAUAGGAGCUCCUGCUGCAUGGUGGGGUUUGGAAAGUUUCGGCGGUUGGGGAUGGACUCGCGGCUUAUCAGCUUGUUGGUGGGGUAGUGGCUUACCAAGGCUUUGACGGGUAGCCGGCCUGAGAGGGUGACCGGCCACAUUGGGACUGAGAUACGGCCCAGACUCCUACGGGAGGCAGCAGUGGGGAAUAUUGCACAAUGGGCGGAAGCCUGAUGCAGCAACGCCGCGUGCGGGAUGACGGCCUUCGGGUUGUAAACCGCUGUCGCCUGUGACGAAGCGUGAGUGACGGUAAUGGGUAAAGAAGCACCGGCUAACUACGUG